rnacentral:rRNA from 1 species
GACGAACGCUGGCGGCGUGCUUAACACAUGCAAGUCGAACGGAAAGGCCCUGCUUUUGUGGGGUGCUCGAGUGGCGAACGGGUGAGUAACACGUGAGUAACCUGCCCUUGACUUUGGGAUAACUUCAGGAAACUGGGGCUAAUAUCGGAUAGGAGCUCCUGCUGCAUGGGGGGGGUUGGAAAGUUUCGGCGGUGGGGGAUGGACUCGCGGCUUAUCGGCUUGUUGGUGGGGUUGUGGCUGACCAAGGCUUUGACGGGUAGCCGGCCUGGGAGGGUGACCGGCCACCAUGGGACUGAGAUAGGCACCAGACUCCUACGGGAGGCAGAAGGGGGGAAUAUUGCACAGUGGGCGGGAGCCUGAUGCAGCAGCGCCGCGUGCGGGAUGACGGCCUUCGGGUUGUAAACCGCUUUCGCCUGUGACGAAGCGUGAGUGACGGUAAUGAGUAAAGAAGCACCGGCUAACUACGUG